AUUGAACGCUGGCGGCAUGCCUUACACAUGCAAGUCGAACGGUAACAGGUCUUCGGAUGCUGACGAGUGGCGAACGGGUGAGUAAUACAUCAGAACGUGCCCGAUCGUGGGGGAUAACGGAGCGAAAGCUUUGCUAAUACCGCAUACGAUCUACGGAUGAAAGCAGGGGACCGCAAGGCCUUGCGCGAACGGAGCGGCCGAUGGCAGAUUAGGUAGUUGGUGGGAUAAAAGCUUACCAAGCCGACGAUCUGUAGCUGGUCUGAGAGGACGACCAGCCACACUGGGACUGAGACACGGCCCAGACUCCUACGGGAGGCAGCAGUGGGGAAUCUUGGACAAUGGGCGCAAGCCUGAUCCAGCAAUGCCGCGUGCAGGAUGAAGGCCUUUGGGUUGUAAACUGCUUUUGUACGGAACGAAAAGGCUCUGGUUAAUACCUGGGGCUCAUGACGGUACCGUAAGAAUAAGCACCGGCUAACUACGUGCCAGCCGCCGCCGUAAAAC
rnacentral:rRNA from 1 species